AAACGUCGCCAUUAUACAAAAUACGAAAGAUGAGAGAGAGCUGAGACAGAAGAUACCAGACACAAUACUAUUCAGGGUUAAAUUCACAUGGUUUACUCUUUGAGUUCCCAAGAUGACAUUUCAGCCAAGCCCUAUAGUGGGGUGUUGCAUCAGAAGAUCUUCUAUUAUACAAUGGGAAUUCCAGGUUGCCUGUGUCUGUACCCCGUUUCAUCUUCACUUCUGGGAACCAGGCUGAUGGAGAAGUCUUCUAGCAGAAGUACUAUGGGUCAUGAUGGCAGAAAGAAGAGCAAACUUGGUGGACCAUGUGCUGGCCCUUGAUGGGUCUACUCAGAUGGGUCACGUAUCUCUGCUCACAAGGGCACACAAGGGAAACUCUUGAAAUUCCAGGGAACUUUAUUUACUGAAGCCAAAAGACUCCAAUAGUCAUGAAUAGUGUCAUCUCCAGAAAGGUAGCUACCCUUGCAUUUCAUCAGGGCUCUGCUUGCAAGAAUCGCAAGGCAGAUCAAGCCUAGCGGCCUAAGAGAUCUACUUCCCCUGGGAAUGAAUCCUGCAUAAAGACCCAUGUAUGGAAAGCAAGAAUGCACACCACCAUGAGGGAAAACCAGCACAGUACCAGAAACGGAGUUCAAACAGAUGUCAAGCUGAUUGAAUAACUGAGGCUUGAUAGAGUUACAUCACUUGUCCAAAGAGAUAAUGCCAGUGAAUGGAAUAGCCAGAUCGAAUUCCAGAAUCCGUAAAGCUCCACUGCUUCUCUCUGAAUGUAAUAACCCAUCCACAAGCCCUAAGAUAUUAGACACAUCAGUGAUCACUCCAUCUGCUUUUGGCCCAUUGCUGUUGUCAGGAUUUAUGCAUUUAUGUCUGCAAUAAUUAUUUAUUGAGGACCUUCUCUCUUGCAAUUGCAUAUGGCCUUAUAACUGAAUUCUGACUUUAUGUCUCUCUUAGGAUAGACAGAUAAAAAUUUUUCAUAUGUGAUCUUCUUUCUGUCCCCUACCUCUCAGCUAUGAGCCUGAAACAGCAGAUUCAGUAGAACAGAGUUUCUCAGGAAUGGCAGAGCCACAAGUUGGGAGGAGCCCAGCUCUGUCCAACAACCUGGAACAUCCAUCAACCAGGAAAACUGUUGCACUUUAUGUGAUUAAGAAACAUUUUUUAAGGAAAAAAGCAGUAAAUUUUUGGGUUAUAUUUGUUGCAAUAGCUGUGUUACUUUCCUAAUGCACAAUCACAAAUGUAAAAUGCCACACACAGAGUGUGAGGAAAUAUAUUGCUAUUGGACUACUUGUAGUCUAUUUAAUUUUUUUAUAUAGCUAUAGCCAGAUCUGGGGUGAAAUGGUUUAGAAUAAUAAUUUCCAAUAGUAUACAUCAUACCUUUAAAAAGACUUUUAUGGAUGGAUAAAUAUCUAAUUAUGGAACUGCCCUGCAACGUAAGUGGUGAGAGAAACUCUUUAUAUAUGCUUUGUUUUUUUCUGAAUGCAUAGGUUCAGAAUUAUUAAACAAAUCCUCAUCUUUUGACAGCCAGUAAUCAAUUUCUCAUUUGCAGGGAAUCUAAUUGCAUUAGAGGGGACACUGGGGAAGUUAUGGACUACCUCAUCUUUCUACUAUAAAAAAUGAAACUACUUGUCUGUAUUGAAUUUGAUUUUAUAUGUUCAAUGAAAUAUAUCAUAUCCUUAUAAUAAAGUUAUAUAAGUUGCAAUGACUAUCUUUACAAGGUUUUCUUAUCAGAACAUUCCUUAAUUAUUUUAAAA
rnacentral:lncRNA from 1 species